UAUAUGAUAACUAAUUUAAAAAAUUAAAUUAAAAAAUUAAUAAUAAUAAUAAUAAUAAUAAAGACUGUAAAUAAAUAAAUAAAAGAAUGCAGCCCCAGUAGCUUGUAAGAACCUGAGCAGAGAGCUCUGCCACGUCAUGCCCAGACUGAUGACCCCUGGAAACUGUGAGAUAAUAAAUGUGUGCUGUUGCAGUCUCUGGUUUUGCAGUAAUAGUGUUAACACAGCAAUAAAUAAGAAACGCAUCUGGGUUCUAGAAAGGCCUUGGUGCAUUCCCGGUGCUGCCUCCUGAAAUCAGAGGGCUUCUACCUGCUCCAGUCUCCCUCUGCUCCUCCACUUAGGGAAGCCUCAUGGGUAUUGUGGUGUAGCGUGGGGACUCUACUUAACAAGGGUUAAUUUAACAAAGUCACAACAGUAUCUUUACUUAUGAGUGAGAGUUUGGGGUUGGAUGCUUCCCAACAUUUCUUCCAUCUUGAGCUCCCCUGAUGCUACGAUGUAACCUACACACAGCACAGCACACUGCGGGGUUCCAAAGUGCCUUGAGAGGUAGGAUCCAAGAUGGGGUUCAAAACUAGGUCUUGAGUGACCAAAGGCCCCUACUCUUCCUUCUCUGCUAAAACACUUUGGAUUUUGCCAUUUACAUGGUCUAGUUGGACCCUUGGUAUAACAUUUGCACUCACUGAUCUACAACAUGCCAUUUUCCAUCACAGGCCUCAGCCCUGUUGUUUCACUUCUCACAUUUCCAACUUGACUGUCUGGAGAGGUGGAGAGAACAGGCCACUCACCAAUACUGGCUCUGAAGCACCAGACGUGGUAUUGGCACUGGUGCUCUACUGACACUGUUUUUCAAAAUGAUGGGAUGUGUUCACGAAGCCAGACAUAUUAUCCUGAAAAUGGUGCUGUGCAGUGUUGUUUUGCACCCCACCUGCCCCCCUUUAUAUUUCUUUGCCACCUGGAAGCUGCAGCUCUGUGUUUACUGCAGGGUGUCCUCCAGAGACUGUGAGAGCUGAUGCCUUCCUCCCACCGCCCGCUGGCAAGCUGGAAUUAAUUAUUCCCUCUCCUGGUCCUCACCUCACGCCAUUUUAUUUUUAAAAUAUUAACAACAGUAAAUUGGGACUUGCAUUUUUGCUCAAAAACAAACCAUUUCGUGCCUGUUUGCUUGGGGCCCACGGGUGAAAUUAGCCCUAAAGUCACAAGAUGUCACGAAGAGAGGGUUCUCUGAUCCCUUCGGCAGGAUACCAGAAGCAGCAAAACCUGCCAAAGUGCUUGACGGAUGCUGGUUGGAGGAGGACAGAUCAUGAGUGGGUGUGAGUUGGGUGUUUAAGGACCUAGAGAGUCAAAGAUGUGAUGAGGUUGGAGAAAUAGGUCAUCGUGCCCAGGGUCAGGGGGCCUGGAGGAUGGGAGGGACAGCCCACUGCCCUGAGAGAGGAUUUGGAACACCAAAGAGGCAGGGGUUAAUUCCCUGGAGCCAGCUUGAGAACAAGAUAUAAAAGAACAGGACAAAGAGGGGAGAGGGGAAGGAUUCUGGAAAAUGGUGGUACAGGGGCUGGGCGUGGUUGAGCCUUCUCUCAAAUCAGCAGAAUGGUCUCCUGACCUGACUGGGUGGCGGAUAUACUGGAUGGAGCUGAGACCUGAAGGUGGACCAGGAUGGGAAUCUCAGCUCUGCCGUUUUCAAGCUGAGGGACUUAAGGUAAUUUAUUUAACCUCACUGCAACUCAGAUUUCUCAUCUGUAAAAUGAAACUAAUAAUACCUCCUCGCAGGUUGUCAUGGGAAUCAAAUGAGAUGAUGUAUGCAAAAACCUUAGUUUACUGUGUAGCACAUUGAUGCCAAAUAAAUGGUACCCAGAAGGAGCUCAAUGAAUAGAUGUUGAACAAACACAGGACUAAACCAUUAAUGCGCCAAAGCUGGAGACAGGUAUUGUGAAGCUUGGGGUGUCUGGAGAUGACAGUCUGCAAAAUUGGAGGAGCCAUUCUUAAUGCUCCACCUGUAUCUCCUUGGCACCCACCUUUCCUGUACAUCCUAAGGUUCUCUACUCAAGCUAUGACUCACUGCCAGGGGGAUUUCUCUAGUCUCUGGAGUAGGCUUGGUCUUCCACAGGGCUGGAUGCAAGUUUAUACCCCUGGGAAUGGCCCUUAGCCACUGAAGGCUGGGAGCUGGUUCGCAAAUACUCCAGAUUCCUUGCCCUUCAAACGAAGCAAUUCAGGCCUGAGCUCCAACAGCUGGUAAUCUACUCACUAAUGCUCCUUGCAUUGGCUUCCUCCUCAUUCUUCCUCCUCAUCCCUGCUCACCUACCUGUGAUCCCUAGGAUCACCUCCCAAGUAAAAUAUGUGCACUCACAUCCUUCCUCACCUUCUGCUUCUGGGAGGACCCAACCUAAGAUAGCAUUCUGACUGAAGAAUUUAGAAACCUUUAAAUUUUUUUUUGGCAGGGGAGGGAGCUCAGUAAGGAAGCUGGUGCAGGAUCUGAAAGAGUGAACAGUUCUUCUGCUCCAGGUCUGAUCCUCAGGAGUCUGCCAUCUGAUACCUAAAGUGAGCUGAGAAAAGGACUGAGAGCAGGACUCAGAAUGCUCUUUGAAGUGCCGGACUAGACAGCUGGUUGUUGGGUCACCAUUUGAGGCCAAAGAUCUCUGAGGGUAACAGCAGACUGAGAGAUUUCCAGAUUGGAGUGUGGACUUGUGCUGGAGAAGAAAUUUGAAAGAGUUGGAGGCAGUAGCGUCAAGGCAGCCCAGGGCAAGAGCAGCAGCACUUAUCUGUGAGUCAGGAGUCCCGGAUGCAGCUCUCACCAUGCGGCUUUGAUCUGCCUGCUCAUAGCAAGAUUGCAUUUUCUGCUCCUCCAAGCUGCAAACCUCCUGAGAAAGGCAAGAGAACACUGGAUACGUGAAAGGAAAAGUUAGAAGCUGAUGUGUCUGAGGACAUUUUCUGGGAAGACAACUCAACAUGGAGCUCUUGUAUACCCUAUGCCAUCAUUCUAUCAGAGAAGCAGCAAAUAUGUGACCCUGAAAAUAAGAGUUAGCUGAAGCCACCAAUCUAUCCCCCUGGUGACUCUGGUAGGAAUGGACAGUGGCAUCAAAACUCUCUUUUUUCAGGGCACCUGGGUGGCUCAGUUGGUUAAGCAUCCGACUUCGGCUCAGGUCACGAUCUCACGGUUUGUGAGUUCGAGCCCCAUGUCAGGCUCUGUACUGACAGCUCAGAGCAUGGAGCCUGCUUUGGAUUCUGUGUUUCCCUCUCUCUCUGCCCCUUUCUCUUUUUUAACUGUGUAUUUGAUAUAUGUCUCUGUAUGUGAAACUGACUUAAAUCACUCACAGGCAAUGGUUUUUCAUCUCUGAAUAUAAAUCUGCUCCUAUCAAUGCUU